CACGUAGUUAGCCGGAGCUUCCUCCUAAGGUACCGUCAUUAUCGUCCCUUAAGACAGAGGUUUACAAUCCGAAAGCCUUCUUCCCUCACGCGGCAUCGCUGCAUCAGAGUUUCCUCCAUUGUGCAAUAUUCCCCACUGCUGCCUCCCGUAGGAGUCUGGGCCGUGUCUCAGUCCCAAUGUGGCCGUUCUACCUCUCAGUACGGCUACUGAUCGUCGCCUUGGUGAGCCGUUACCUCACCAACAAGCUAAUCAGACGCGAGCCCAUCUUUAAGCGAUAAAUCUUUGAUACACAAACCAUGCGGUUCGUGUAUGUUAUGCGGUAUUAGCGGUCGUUUCCGACCGUUAUCCCACUCUUAAAGGCAGGUUGCUCACGUGUUACUCACCCGUCCGCCACUAACUUAAGAGAGCAAGCCCUCUCAAGUCCGUUCGACUUGCAUGUGUUAAGCGUGCCGCCAGCGUGUCCUGUAGCCACGGAGUCAACGUAC
rnacentral:rRNA from 1 species